UACGGAGGGGGGCUAGCGUUGUUCGGAAUUACUGGGCGUAAAGCGCACGUAGGCGGCUUUGCAAGUUAGAGGUGAAAGCCCGGGGCUCAACUCCGGAAUUGCCUUUAAAACUGCAUCGCUAGAAUUGUGGAGAGGUAAGUGGAAUUACCGGUGUAGCGGUGAAAUGCGUAGAUAUCGGUAGGAACACCAGUGGCGAAGGCGGUUUCCUGGGGCAUUCUUGACGCUGAGGCGCGAAAGCUGGGGGAGCGAACGGG
rnacentral:rRNA from 1 species